rnacentral:rRNA from 1 species
AUUGAACGCUGGCGGCAGGCCUAACACAUGCAAGUCGAGCGGAUGAAGGGAGCUUGCUCCUGGAUUCAGCGGCGGACGGGUGAGUAAUGCCUAGGAAUCUGCCUGGUAGUGGGGGAUAACGUCCGGAAACGGGCGCUAAUACCGCAUACGUCCUGAGGGAGAAAGUGGGGGAUCUUCGGACCUCACGCUAUCAGAUGAGCCUAGGUCGGAUUAGCUAGUUGGUGGGGUAAAGGCCUACCAAGGCGACGAUCCGUAACUGGUCUGAGAGGAUGAUCAGUCACACUGGAACUGGGACACGGUCCAGACUCCUACGGGAGGCAGCAGUGGGGAAUAUUGGACCAUGGGCGGAAGCCUUAUCCAGCCAUGCCGCGUGUGUGAAGAAGGUCUUCGGAUUGGAAAGCACUUUAAGUUGGGAGGAAGGGCAGUAAGUUAAUACCUUGCUGUUUUGACGUUACCAACAGAAUAAGCACCGGCUAACUUCGUG